UACGAACUGUGCAAACGUUAUUCGGAAUCACUGGGCUUAAAGGGUGCGUAGGCGGCUUAUUAAGCAGGGUGUGAAAGCCCCCGGCUCAACCGGGGAAUAGCGCUCUGAACUGAUGAGCUGGAGCGAGGCAGGGGUGCGCGGAACUUCCAGUGGAGCGGUGAAAUGUGUUGAUAUUGGAAGGAACACCGGAGGCGAAAGCGGCGCACUGGGUCUUGUCUGACGCUGAGGCACGAAAGCCAGGGGAGCAAACGGGAUUAGAUACCCCGGUAGUCCUGGCCGUAAACGCUGAGUACUAGUGGGGAGGUCCGCGAGGGCUUUCUCACGGAGCGAAAGUUUUAAGUACUCCGCCUGGGGAGUAUGGUCGCAAGGCUG
rnacentral:rRNA from 1 species